rnacentral:rRNA from 1 species
ACACGUGGGUAACCUGCCUGUAAGACUGGGAUAACUCCGGGAAACCGGAGCUAAUACCGGAUAGUUCCUUGAACCGCAUGGUUCAAGGAUGAAAGACGGUUUCGGCUGUCACUUACAGAUGGACCCGCGGCGCAUUAGCUAGUUGGUGGGGUAAUGGCUCACCAAGGCGACGAUGCGUAGCCGACCUGAGAGGGUGAUCGGCCACACUGGGACUGAGACACGGCCCAGACUCCUACGGGAGGCAGCAGUAGGGAAUCUUCCGCAAUGGACGAAAGUCUGACGGAGCAACGCCGCGUGAGUGAUGAAGGUUUUCGGAUCGUAAAGCUCUGUUGUUAGGGAAGAACAAGUGCGAGAGUAACUGCUCGCACCUUGACGGUACCUAACCAGAAAGCCACGGCUAACUACGUGCCAGCAGCCGCGGUAAUACGUAGGUGGCAAGCGUUGUCCGGAAUUAUUGGGCGUAAAGGGCUCGCAGGCGGUUUCUUAAGUCUGAUGUGAAAGCCCCCGGCUCAACCGGGGAGGGUCAUUGGAAACUGGGAAACUUGAGUGCAGAAGAGGAGAGUGGAAUUCCACGUGUAGCGGUGAAAUGCGUAGAGAUGUGGAGGAACACCAGUGGCGAAGGCGACUCUCUGGUCUGUAACUGACGCUGAGGAGCGAAAGCGUGGGGAGCGAACAGGAUUAGAUACCCUGGUAGUCCACGCCGUAAACGAUGAGUGCUAAGUGUUAGGGGGUUUCCGCCCCUUAGUGCUGCAGCUAACGCAUUAAGCACUCCGCCUGGGGAGUACGGUCGCAAGACUGAAACUCAAAGGAAUUGACGGGGGCCCGCACAAGCGGUGGAGCAUGUGGUUUAAUUCGAAGCAACGCGAAGACCCUUACCAGGUCUUGACAUCCUCUGACAACCCUAGAGAUAGGGCUUUCCCUUCGGGGACAGAGUGACAGGUGGUGCAUGGUUGUCGUCAGCUCGUGUCGUGAGAUGUUGGGUUAAGUCCCGCAACGAGCGCAACCCUUGAUCUUAGUUGCCAGCAUUUAGUUGGGCACUUUAAGGUGACUGCCGGUGACAAACCGGAGGAAGGUGGGGAUGACGUCAAAUCAUCAUGCCCCUUAUGACCUGGGCUACACACGUGCUACAAUGGACAGAACAAAGGGCUGCAAGACCGCAAGGUUUAGCCAAUCCCAUAAAUCUGUUCUCAGUUCGGAUCGCAGUCUGCAACUCGACUGCGUGAAGCUGGAAUCGCUAGUAAUCGCGGAUCAGC